UCCCAGACUCCUACGGGAGGCAGCAGUGGGGAAUAUUGCACAAUGGGGGAAACCCUGAUGCAGCGACGCCGCGUGAGUGAAGAAGUAUUUCGGUAUGUAAAGCUCUAUCAGUAGGGAAGAUAAUGACGGUACCUGACUAAGAAGCCCCGGCUAACUACGUGCCAGCAGCCGCGGUAAUACGUAGGGGGCAAGCGUUAUCCGGAUUUACUGGGUGUAAAGGGUGCGUAGGUGGCAGGGCAAGUCAGAUGUGAAAGCCCGGGGCCCAACCCCGGUACUGCAUUUGAAACUGUCCGGCUGGAGUGCAGGAGAGGUAAGCGGAAUCCCUAGUGUAGCGGUGAAAUGCGUAGAUAUUAGGAGGAACACCAGUGGCGAAGGCGGCUUACUGGACUGUAACUGACACUGAGGCACGAAAGCGUGGGGAGCAAACAGGAUUAGAUACCCUCGUAGA
rnacentral:rRNA from 1 species